rnacentral:rRNA from 1 species
CCUACGGGGGGCUGCAGUGGGGAAUAUUGCACAAUGGGCGCAAGCCUGAUGCAGCCAUGCCGCGUGUGUGAAGAAGGCCUUCGGGUUGUAAAGCACUUUCAGCGGGGAGGAAGGCGUUAAGGUUAAUAACCUUGGCGAUUGACGUUACCCGCAGAAGAAGCACCGGCUAACUCCGUGCCAGCAGCCGCGGUAAUACGGAGGGUGCAAGCGUUAAUCGGAAUUACUGGGCGUAAAGCGCACGCAGGCGGUCUGUCAAGUCGGAUGUGAAAUCCCCGGGCUCAACCUGGGAACUGCAUUCGAAGCUGGCAGGCUAGAGUCUUGUAGAGGGGGGUAGAAUUCCAGGUGUAGCGGUGAAAUGCGUAGAGAUCUGGAGGAAUACCGGUGGCGAAGGCGGCCCCCUGGACAAAGACUGACGCUCAGGUGCGAAAGCGUGGGGAGCAAACAGGAUUAGAUACCCCGGUAGUC